AGAUGAAGAACGCAGCGAAAUGCGAUACUUGGUGUGAAUUGCAGAAUCCCGUGAACCAUCGAGUCUUUGAACGCAAGUUGCGCCCGAAGCCAUUAGGCCGAGGGCACGCCUGCCUGGGCGUCACACGUCGUUGCCCCCCCAUCUACUCCUUCGGGAUUGCGGGGGGCGGAUGAUGGCCUCUCGUGCGCCUCGUCGCGCGGUUGGCCUAAAUGUCAAGUCCUCGGCGACGCACGCCACGACAAUCGGUGGUUGCGAAACCUCGGUUGCCUGUCGUGUGCGGUCGUCGCGCAUCGAGGGCUCGAAAAAAUUGCCGGGCUUCGGCUCGACUUUCAACGCGACCCCAGGUCAGGCGGGGUUACCCGCUGAAUUUAAGCAUAUCAAUAAGCGGAGGA
rnacentral:misc_RNA from 1 species